rnacentral:lncRNA from 1 species
AUAGAUGUUGUAAUUUUACCAAUUUCGAAACUUUUGGACAGACUAAGAGAGAAAAUGCUGAAGUUGGUUUGUUUAUCAUGCUCAUGUUGUCAAUGACAAUUUGUACAAGAAGCCAUGUUGUUGCAGGACUCGCAUUGAUCUCUACAACGAAAGAUCCCGUGAAGGAAUGAAAAUUAGAGCACCACAUGUUGGUUAGGAUAUGAAGUAGAGUUGAUGAUGUUAACAACUUGGAGCUAAUGUUAUUGUUGAAGGUUGUUGGGUUUUGGUGAAUGUGUAAACUUUUACUUUUGGCC